UUUUAAAAACAUGUUUGUGAGAAAAAAUUAAAAGUAGAAUUGUUAUAUAAUCCAGUAAUUCUACUUCUCAGUAUAUAUUCAAAAGAAUUAAAAGCAGGAAUUCAAACAUGUACCACCAUGUCCAUAGCAGCAUUAUACACAAUAGCCAAGAUACAGAAUCAACUUCAGUGUCUAUCAACAAAUAAAUGGAUAAACAUAAUGUGGUAUAUACAUAUGAAACCGUGCCCCAAAGACUUAAGGAAACCAAUGGCCAAAUUCUUAGGUUUACAGGAUAGUAGAUAAGAGAAGAAACAAUAUGCUGAGAUGCCUAAACUCAAACUCUGCCCCCAAAGAGUAAGAAAACAGUAACUAACAAAAAUUCUUGAGUUUACAGGACAACAGAAAAGAAACAGCCUGGUCAGACACUGAAACUCCCUCUGCUUGUGAGAUCAAAAAGAACCUGGGCCAGGUGAAGUGGCUCAUACCUGUAAUUCCAGCACUUCGGGAGGCUGAGGCAGGAGGAUUGCUUGAGCCUAGGAGUUUGAGUCCAGCCUUGGCAACAUAGCAAGACCCUGUCCAGCUAUUCAGGAGGCGGAGGCAGGAGAAUCACUUGAACCCAGGAGGUGGAAGUUGCAGUGGGCCAAGACGACACUACUGUACUCCAGCUUGGACCACAGAACACGACAGUCUUUAAACAAAUAAAUAAAAUAAAAUAAAUAAA
rnacentral:lncRNA from 1 species